AAUUAAAUUGUAAUGAGUUUUUUAAUAAUGUUAUUCUGAUUUAUUAUUUUUUAAUCAUCAUACUAACUAUAAUUUGAUUUUUUUAUAAUAAUUGAUUAAUAUCAAAUAUGUUAAUAUAAAUUUGAACAUUUUCAUGUUGAUAAUUAAUAACAAUAUAUAAAUACACCUAGUUCUCGUAAUUAUGCAGAGGUGAUUUUUGAAAAUAAUUACAUAAAUUGAAAAUAUACAAAAUGAGAAUUUUUUAAUUUUAAUAUGUAUUUCAGUGAUAUGAAUAUGAAUUUUCUGUAUUGUGGUACAGAAAAUUCUUGUAGUUAUGUAGAUCAUUCUUAUCAGUCUCACUUGAAGCCAUGUGCCAUCUACCAAAGCUGUUAUGGAUUAUCCCCUGGUAAAAUUUUCCUUCAGUUUAAUCUUCACAAGUCUCUCUUUCUGGCCACUAUUGAUCAUCUCACACUAAAAUAUGAUAGUACUGUCAAGAAAAAGCAAGGUAAAGACAUGAGGAAGAAUUGAAAAUAUGUAUUAACUUGCUGUCAUAUACAUAAUAGUGUGGUGACUAAGCAUAUUGUCUUGAUGAUACAAAGAAAAAAGUGUGAUAUCAAACUAUUGUUAUUUCUUUUGCUUAAUACGUUUUCAGAUUCUGAUCAUGUCAGUCUUUAUAUAAACAAUAAGUAUCGUACUUUCAUGAUUAUUAGGGUUACCAUUCAUCCUGAAUUUUCUGGGACAGUCUUGGUUUUUGAUACAUUUUUUUGCAUUAAUAAAUAUCCUAGAUUUUAAAAUACAUCCCUUUUUCAAGAUGAAAGUCUGUUAUUUUUUGAAAUUUGCAUGCAAAAUCAAUUAGAUUUGGUGAUGUUUUGAAAUUCAGGUUCAAAACAUAUGUUAAAUCAACAUUGUCAAGUCUAUGCUGAUAGUGCCAUGGUAUUUUACUGUUCAAAUUCUUUAGUUCCAGCUCAAUAUGAGAUGGCUUUCAGGUAUUAUGAUUAAGUUUAAGAAAUCGGUUUAUUGUACAAGUGUCCUUUAGUUUAUUUAUAUUCUGAAUAAUGAGAAGCAUAAAUUCUAUAUCACUUUUCAUUUUGCAAAGAAAAAUUUUCGUUUUUAUGAAGAAACUAU
rnacentral:lncRNA from 1 species